GAUGAACGCUAGCGGGAGGCUUAACACAUGCAAGCCGAGGGGUAUAUUUCUUUCGGGAGAUAGAGACCGGCGCACGGGUGCGUAACGCGUAUGCAACUUGCCCUACUGAAAAGGAUAGCCCUUCGAAAGGAGGAUUAAUACUUUAUAAUAGAAAUCAUGGCAUCAUGAAUUUUUGAAAGAUUUAUCGCAGUAGGAUAGGCAUGCGUAAGAUUAGUUAGUUGGUGAGGUAACGGCUCACCAAGACGAUGAUCUUUAGGGGGCCUGAGAGGGUGAACCCCCACACUGGUACUGAGACACGGACCAGACUCCUACGGGAGGCAGCAGUGAGGAAUAUUGGACAAUGGGUGGAAGCCUGAUCCAGCCAUCCCGCGUGUAGGAUGACGGCCUUAUGGGUUGUAAACUACUUUUAUCUGGGGAUAAACCUACUCACGUGUGAGUAGCUGAAGGUACCAGAAGAAUAAGCACCGGCUAACUCCGUGCCAGCCGCCGCGGUAACAC
rnacentral:rRNA from 1 species